rnacentral:rRNA from 1 species
UGGGGAAUAUUGGACAAUGGGGGGAACCCUGAUCCAGCCAUGCCGCGUGUGUGAAGAAGGCCUUAUGGUUGUAAAGCACUUUAAGCGAGGAGGAGGGUACUGGUAAUAAUACUACCAGCUACUGGACGUUACUCGCAGAAUAAGCACCGGCUAACUCUGUGCCAGCAGCCGCGGUAAUACAGAGGGUGCGAGCGUUAAUCGGAUUUACUGGGCGUAAAGCGUGCGUAGGCGGCUAAUUGAGUCGGAUGUGAAAUCCCCGAGCUUAACUUGGGAAUUGCAUUCGAUACUGGUUAGCUAGAGUGUGGGAGAGGAUGGUAGAAUUCCAGGUGUAGCGGUGAAAUGCGUAGAGAUCUGGAGGAAUACCGAUGGCGAAGGCAGCCAUCUGGCCUAACACUGACGCUGAGGUACGAAAGCAUGGGGAGCAAACAGG